GACGAACGCUGGCGGCGUGCUUAACACAUGCAAGUCGAACGAUGAAGAAAAGACUCGAAGCUUCGGCAGAAAUUCAUUUCGGAUUAGUGGCAGACGGGUGAGUAACGCGUGAGCAACCUACCUCUUACAAAGGGAUAGCCUCGGGAAACCGGGAUUAAUACCAUAUAACAUUGUGACGAAGCAUUUCGAUGCAAUCAAAGCUACGGCGGUAAGAGAUGGGCUCGCGUCCCAUUAACCGGAUGGUGAGGUAACGGCUCACCAUAGUGACGAUGGGUAACCGGCCUGAGAGGGUGAACGGUCACACUGGAACUGAGACACGGUCCAGACUCCUACGGGAGGCAGCAGUGGGGAAUAUUGCACAAUGGAGGGAACUCUGAUGCAGCGACGCCGCGUGAGUGAUGAAGGAAUUCGUUUCGUAAAACUCUGUUCUAUGGGAAGAAAAGGACUGUACCAUAGGAGAAAGCUCCGGCUAAAUACGUG
rnacentral:rRNA from 1 species